UGCCGAAGUUUUUCUCGGUAGUUAACUGCAACCGGUUGCAUAAUUCCGCAGUUAACUGCCGAUGAGCAU
rnacentral:pre_miRNA from 1 species